AAAAAGCUUCAAACUGGGAUUAGAUACCCCACUAUGCCUAGCCAUAAACAUCGAUAGUAAACUACACCUACUAUCCGCCCGGGGACUACGAGCAUCAGCUUGAAACCCAAAGGACUUGGCGGUGCUUUAGAUCCACCUAGAGGAGCCUGUUCUAGAACCGAUUACCCCCGUUCAACCUCACCUUUCCUUGUUUUAUCCCGCCUAUAUACCACCGUCGUCAGCUUACCCUGUGAAGGACUCAUAGUAAGCAAGAUUGGCACAGCCCAAAACGUCAGGUCGAGGUGUAGCGUAUGGAAAGGGAAGAAAUGGGCUACAUUCCCUAAUACAGUGAAAUACGAACGAUACACUGAAAUACGUAUCCGAAGGAGGAUUUAGCAGUAAGCAGAAAAUAGAGCGUUCCGCUGAAACCGGCCCUGAAGCGCGCACACACCGCCCGUCACCCUCUGCAGUCA
rnacentral:rRNA from 1 species